GCAUAUCAAUAAGCGGAGGAAAAGAAACCAACAGGGAUUGCCUUAGUAACUGCGAGUGAAGCGGCAAAAGCUCAAAUUUGAAAUCUGGGGCCUCACAGCCUCCGAAUUGUAAUUUCGCGAUACGUUUUCGACUGAAGGCUCUGCUUUAAGUUCCUUGGAACAGGACGUCACAGAGGGUGAGAAUCCCGUGAUAGGUGGAGCCUGACGCAUAUGAUACGUAUUCAACGAGUCGAGUUGUUUGGGAAUGCAGCUCAAAAUGGGUGGUAAAUUUCAUCUAAAGCUAAAUAUUGGCGAGAGACCGAUAGCGCACAAGUAGAGUGAUCGAAAGAUGAAAAGCACUUUGAAAAGAGAGUUAAAAAGUACGUGAAAUUGUUGAAAGGGAAGCGCUUGAGACCAGACUCAAUCUGUAGUGAUCAACUUGGCUUUUGUCAGGUGCACUUGCUACUUAUUGGGACAGCAUCGGUUUUGGCGGUGGGAUAAAGUCUUGGGGAAUGUAGCUAUCUUCGGGUAGUGUUAUAGCCUCUUGAGUAAUGCCACCAGCCGGGACCGAGGACCGCGCUUCGGCUAGGAUGCUGUCAUAAUGGUCUUCAGCGACCC
rnacentral:rRNA from 1 species